UACGUAGGGGGCAAGCGUUGUCCGGAUUUAUUGGGCGUAAAGAGCGUGUAGGCGGCCAGAUAGGUCAGCUGUGAAAACUCGAGGCUCAACCUCGAGACGCCGGUGGAAACCAUCAGGCUAGAGUCCGGAAGAGGAGAGUGGAAUUCCUGGUGUAGCGGUGAAAUGCGCAGAUAUCAGGAAGAACACCCGUGGCUAAGGCGGCUCUCUAGUACGGUACUGACGCUGAGACGCGAAAGCGUGGGGAGCGAACAGG
rnacentral:rRNA from 1 species